AUUUUUGCAAUACGUUUGUUAGAGUAAAAGAAAUGAAUUCAAAGUUCAAAUUUUUCCGCUACUCCAAGGUUGUGGACAUAGUAGUUCCAGCAGUUAUAGCUAGGUGGCGCUGAAAAUACAUUAUGACGCUACAUAAAUUAAUGCUUAAUUUCAACACACUAAUAUUCAAAAUGUUCUAUUAAAAGCAUCAAUUUCGAAAUGAUAACAAUUUUACUGCAAAAGCUUAUCAAAAUAUGAAUUAGGGUGCAGUAGCUUCUUCCUUGAAGUACAAUUUUUAAAGAUAUGUGUUACCAGAUAUUACAAAGUUUUUAGAUUAUGUUAUUGGAACAAAAAAAAGGUAAACUAGAAGAAAUUUAUGAAAGAUUUAUUCUUGAAAGAAUUGAUUGACAAUGGAAGAUAAAUAGAGAUUGGAAAAUUUUCAAGGACACCAGUCUGACGAACUUGCGUUGACGAACUUGCGCCUUUUUAUACGUAUUAUCUUCCAUGCUGAAAUGUGGACCAGCAGCCUACCUGUCCUGUGCAGAAGACCUCUCGCAGUAUUGAUCACUGCGGGAGGGAAAGGCACGUUGGGGGAUAGUCGAUGAACACGUGGCACCAGUCGAACUUUCAAGUGAGGAUUUUCACUCCUCACACCGCAAGUAGAUCAGAAAAAGUAUCCUCCAUUCCGUACCCUUUAAAUCCAAAGCAUAUUUUGUACCCAGAGUUGGUUGAUCGUGGUAGCAAUGGGAAGACGUUAUCGAAGGAGGCGGUCGAAGAGGGUGAGCUAUGAAGGAGCGGUACAGAAGGGAGAGACGAGGAGAAUGCAAUCAGAGGGGUUGAUAAUACGAGCAAACCGAUAGGAACCGACCCAAGAGCAGCGUAAUGGUGUUGGUAUAUAAGGCACGAGCAGCGAACGUCUGCUCCUGACAGCCCAUUACCACUGUACAAACGCUAGCACAGAGCUUUGGGAGGAUGGCGAAGCUUCUCCUCCCUCCCAACGUCCCGUCCCUUUCUGCGUCUGUUUCCCUCCUCCAGCUUCCCGUCGCUCUUCCUCCGCUUAUACGACUUGCUCGUCCUGGGGGAAGAUGCUGGAAACUGCCGAAGAACCAGCGGAACUUCCGCUAUGAUUUCGUCGAACACGAAAACUGCUGUCUCUUGUAUGAGAAUAGGAUGUUGUUUAGAGGUUCUGGAAUGUUUAAGAAGUUUUGAGUAGAAAAUGAUAGUUUAUAUAGAAUUUGAGGUUGAAAUUGGCUUUUGAAAGCUUUAAGUUUGGUAUUUUGGACCUUAAGAGGAUAGAAGGUUAAUUUUAAUAAAAUUCGUUGAGGGGUUAAGGGAACAGAGUUAAUAUUAAUAAUAUUUUGGGAAGUUAAGGGAUUAAAGAGUUAAUUUUUAGGAGUAAUUUAAUAAUAAUAAUCUAGUAAUUUGUAAUCUCUUUAUUUUAAAAAUUGUCAUAAAGAAAGGAUUCUCUUUAUUUAGCAUGAACCGUACCAGGCCCAGGUCAAAUGACCGGUUUCAAAAUUUAAUUUGUAAUUGUACAUUCAUUGUUAUUUCUUACAAAUUUAUUUAACUUUAUGUAA